rnacentral:rRNA from 1 species
UACGGAGAGUGCAAGCAUUAAUCGGAAUUAUUGGGCGUAAAGGGCGCGUAGGCGGAUAUAUAAGUCAGAUGUGAAAUUCCGAAGCUCAACUUCGGAGCUGCAUUUGAAACUAUAAAUCUCGAGGAUUGACGGAGAAAACGGAAUUCCACGUGUAGCGGUGAAAUGCGUAGAUAUGUGGAAGAACACCUGUGGCGAAAGCGGUUUUCUAGUUUAUACCUGACGCUGAGGCGCGAGAGCAAGGGGAGCAAACAGG